GAGUUUGAUCGUGGCUCAGGAUGAACGCUAGCGGCAGGCUUAACACAUGCAAGUCGAGGGGCAGCGCGGGUAGCAAUACCUGGCGGCGACCGGCAAACGGGUGCGGAACACGUACAGAACCUACCUUGAUCUGGGGCAUAGCCCGGAGAAAUCCGGAUUAACUCCCCAUAAUAUAAUUGGAAGGCAUCUUUUAGUUAUUAAAAAUUUAUUGGAUCAAGAUGGCUGUGCGUCCCCAUUUAGCUAGUUGGUAGGGUAACGUCCUACCAAGGCGACGAUGGGUAGCUGGUGUGAGAGCACGACCAGCCACACGGGCACUGAGACACGGGCCCGACUCCUACGGGAGGCAGCAGUGAGGAAUAUUGGUCAAUGGACGCAAGUCUGAACCAGGCCAUGCCGCGUGAAGGAUGAAGGCCUUCUGGGUUGU
rnacentral:rRNA from 1 species